GACGAACGCUGGCGGCGUGCUUAACACAUGCCAGUCGAACGGAAAGGCCCUGCUUUUGUGGGGUGCUCGAGUGGCGAACGGGUGAGUAACACGUGAGUAACCUGCCCUUGACUUUGGGAUAACUUCAGGAAACUGGGGCUAAUACCGGAUAGGAGCUCCUGCUGCAUGGUGGGGGUUGGAAAGUUUCGGCGGUUGGGGAUGGACUCGCGGCUUAUCAGCUUGUUGGUGGGGUAGUGGCUUACCAAGGCUUUGACGGGUAGCCGGCCUGAGAGGGUGACCGGCCACAAUGGGACUGAGAUACGGCCCAGACGCCUACGGGAGGCAGCAGUGGGGAAUAUGGCACAAUGGGCGGAAGCCUGAGGCAGCAACGCCGCGUGCGGGAUGACGGCCUUCGGGUUGUAAACCGCUUUCGCCUGUGACGAAGCGUGAGUGACGGUAAUGGGUAAAGAAGCACCGGCUAACUACGUG
rnacentral:rRNA from 1 species